rnacentral:rRNA from 1 species
GAUGAACGCUCGCGGCAGGCCUAAUACAUGCAAGUCGAACGGGAUCCAGAUCAAAGCUUGCUUUGGUCUGGUGAGAGUGGCGCACGGGUGCGUAACGCGUGAGCAACCUACCCUUGUCAGGGGGAUAGCCCGGCGAAAGUCGGAUUAAUACCGCAUGACAUCAUUGAGAGGCAUCUUUCGAUGAUCAAAGAUUUAUCGGACAAGGAUGGGCUCGCGUGACAUUAGCUAGUUGGUAAGGUAACGGCUUACCAAGGCUGCGAUGUCUAGGGGCUCUGAGAGGAGAAUCCCCCACACUGGUACUGAGACACGGACCAGACUCCUACGGGAGGCAGCAGUAAGGAAUAUUGGUCAAUGGACGGAAGUCUGAACCAGCCAUGCCGCGUGCAGGAGGACGGCCCUAUGGGUGGUAAACUGCUUUUAUACGGGAACAAACGUCGGUACGUGUACCGGUCUGAGUGUACCGUAAGAAUAAGGAUCGGCUAACUCCGUG